rnacentral:rRNA from 1 species
CAGUAGCCGCGGGAAUACGUAGGUCCCGAGCGUUGUCCGGAUUUAUUGGGCGUAAAGCGAGCGCAGGCGGUUAGAUAAGUCUGAAGUUAAAGGCUGUGGCUUAACCAUAGUACGCUUUGGAAACUGUUUAACUUGAGUGCAGAAGGGGAGAGUGGAAUUCCAUGUGUAGCGGUGAAAUGCGUAGAUAUAUGGAGGAACACCGGUGGCGAAAGCGGCUCUCUGGUCUGUAACUGACGCUGAGGCUCGAAAGCGUGGGGAGCGAACAGGAUUAGAUACCCCGGUAGUCCCUGUCUCUUAUACA